UGGGGAAUUUUGGACAAUGGGCGAAAGCCUGAUCCAGCAAUGCCGCGUGUGUGAAGAAGGCCUUCGGGUUGUAAAGCACUUUUGUCCGGAAAGAAAUCCUUGGCUCUAAUACAGUCGGGGGAUGACGGUACCGGAAGAAUAAGCACCGGCUAACUACGUGCCAGCAGCCGCGGUAAUACGUAGGGUGCAAGCGUUAAUCGGAAUUACUGGGCGUAAAGCGUGCGCAGGCGGUUUGCUAAGACCGAUGUGAAAUCCCGGGCUCAACCCGGGAACUGCAUUGGUGACUGGCAGGCUAGAGUAUGGCAGAGGGGGGUAGAAUUCCACGUGUAGCAGUGAAAUGCGUAGAGAUGUGGAGGAAUACCGAUGGCGAAGGCAGCCCCUGGGCCAAUACUGACGCUCAUGCACGAAAGCGUGGGGAGCAAAACAGGAUUAGAUACCCCUGGUAGUCCACGCCCUAAACGAUGUCAACUAGUUGUUGGGGAUUCAUUUCCUUAGUAA
rnacentral:rRNA from 1 species